rnacentral:lncRNA from 1 species
GUCUUUUUAGGGCUACACCCACGGCAUAUGGAGGUUCCCAGGCUAGGGGGUCAAAUCACAGCUGUAGCUGCAGGCCUGCACCACAACCACAGCAAAGUCAAAUCCAAGCUGCAUCAGAGACCUACACCACAGCUCAUGGCAACGCUGGAUCCUUAACCCACUGAGCAAAGCCAAGGAUCAAACCUGCAUCCUCAUGGAUGCCAGUCAGAAGAGUCUAGUAUUUUAGGCAGAAAGGAACUUAAUACAGGAAAUGAGGUGGGACAAAGGAAGAGUGGAUUCUGCGCUAGGCUGCAGAAAACCAGCACUGGGACCAGUGAGCUCAAGUCCAAACUGCUGUGCUGCUAAUUAAGGAUCCAGGCCCUCUGCCAUCUCCAUCACAACUACCUUGGGCACCAGGAAACUAGAGACUGACAUUGCUGCAGGCAUGCCUCUGUCCUUGACCUCAUUAGCCAAUGGAGCAAGACUUAAAUUCUGCUCACGCAUAUUAAGUCACAGAACCUAAGGUCGCAUGCAAGACCCUAGUUGCAAGGAAAGCUUGGGAAAUGAAAUACUGAACUGAACUGUCCAGCACCUGCAGGACAGAAAGCAUAUUAGGAGGGGAGGCUGGAGGUUAAGUCAGGCAAUUAGCCACAUCUAUUGCAGGCCAUUGAGGUCUGUUCAAGUCUAACAUCCCACAUGUGACCAGGAUCCCGGAGCAGGAAAAGACAACCAUCUCCAGAGAAGAACGGAGAAGAGGGAAGCGCAUCUUCUGCUACCACCUCCUCUCCCACUGCCACCUCCUUGGGAAGAAGUGAUUUCCAGAUCAUGACCUGGAGUACAAAGUUGCCCAAAGACAUCUGAACCUGAGUUCUGACUGAAGUUAUGCCCUAGUCAUUUGGAGGCUUUAGCAGGAAGGGUAUAUAUCUUUUAAAAGAUAUAUUCAAAAGUUGCAAGCGAUUUAUGUCUUGUAAGAGGUAGAGGUACUGUUCUUUUAAUCUGGGAAAACUCUUGGACUAGAAAUUUAGAUAUGUAAAUAAAAAGUAGAGCCCAUAAUUGUGAAGUGGGGUGCUUGAGAUACCACAGCUGAAAGAGGGAAACAUAAGCUAUUGGACAAAAUUUUCUCAGUUUUAGGCAAAGUUGCAUCUCUGCAGACCCUGAUUAUUUAGGGAAAAAUAAAUAUUUUUUAAACAGAGAUUUCAACCCUGCUGUUACUCAUUCAUGUGAGCCUGUGGUUGCACACAUGUGUGCACACGCAUGUGUUCUCGGCCAAUGAGUUGCAUCAGAAACAGAGGCUGUUUUCCCGAGAGUCUGUUGUUCAACUCUGGGCAAAACUUUGAGGCGAGGCUGCACAGAUCCAUACAGAGAUAAGGAAAGCUUCCGCCCCCCUCCAUCGCCGCCACUUUUCCAUAAAAUUCAGCCCAGCUUUAGCACUUUAAGGACUGGUGGUGAGGAGGAGCAUCUUGGAUGGAUCUUGUCUUCCAGGGGAGGGUGGCAGGACAUCACCCAAGUAUCAAUAUUGCCACUCCUUGCAGCUUCAUGAUUAGCAGACAUCAGUCAGAUGGGGAGUAAUAGAGGGGAAAAAAUGACAGGUCCGAAUAGUGGUUUGUGAACCCGAGAUGGGUACCUCUUCCGGGACCAUCCAAAACAGGGGGGUGGGGAAAGGAAGGGCUUGAAGAGGUGGAGCAAGUGGGUGCCGGGAGCAAGUGGGUGUGGGGGGCAGGGGGGCAAAAAUAAAAGCUCCCACUGAUUGUUAGCGAUAUAAUUUUAUUUACAUCCAUGGACUGAGAAGGCUGGUGAUCUAGACGAUCUAGACUGUUUCUAGUUCUAAGAGGUGACAGGCACGAAACAUGAAGGAUGGGCACUCACACGUGGCUUUUACCAACAUGGACCUCUUCAGAGAGUGAGGCUGAGCUUGUCAGCCUCCAGGUCGUCGUGGCUGGUCUGUCUUGCUGGGCGCUUAAGACCUUGAGACCAAGUUUUGCUCUUUCGGAUGUUCUCUUUCCAUUUUACUCUCAUCCCAAACUCCCUUCCUCAAACAUAAAUAUAUAUACAUCCUUCCCAACCUUGCUUCUAUUCUAUGGUCUUUAGAAAAUUAUUUUGAAGAUUGAGGAUGAGUCGGUAAAGCAUUAGCACUGGGCUUAUGGUGAUGAUGAUGAUAAUGAUGAUGAUGAUGAUGGGAAGAAGGAAGAUGAUUUAAAGAGAUCGCAGCACCUCCAAGAAAAGCCAUAAGGGCAUGGGACAACUUUACUGAAACAUCUUCCUAUUUGCAGCCCUGCCCACAUAACUUGCAGCUCUGUGGACGAGCUCCAAAAAGACUUUCAGUCCAGCCCCUACCUCUAAAGAGUGGACACUGACUCUAAAACUGAAACUGGAAGGGAUCCUGGAAAUGACCCUUUAUUUUACAGGACUUGAGAGUUUCAGUAACUCUCCAACUCUAUCAUUUGGUUUUUCUACCACCUUCACCACACUGUUUAAGGAAACGCACUGAUGGCAGGGAUGCCAUUUUCUGCCUUCAAAUUCAGCAAAGGUUACAACCUCCUUACCUUUUCUAUCAAGCAUUAAUCUCUCAAUUUGGAAUGCAGUGGCCCCCAAAAGUGCCCUGGUUAAUUGGACCUUGGUGGGGGGAACCUUCUUUAACUCUGAAAUAGGGAGUGUGGGGAGUAUUCAGAAAAAACAAAUAUUUUAACCAGAGAGAUUUUCACUUUCAUUGGUUUUUCUAUAUAGUUCUGUCCUAUCUUACCUAAAACAAUAUAAGGUGUGAAAAGCAAAGCUUAAAACACACACACACACACACACACACACACACACACACAAACUUGGAAUAUGGUACUUGGGGUGGGGAUAUGGUACUUGGGACCUCUGAUUUUUAUUUAAUUUAUUUAUUUAUUUAUUUAUUUAUUUAUUUAUUUAUUUAUCUGUCUUUUUAGGGAUGCAUCCGUGGCACAUGGAAGUUCCUAGACUAGGGGUUGAAUCAGAGCUGUAGCUGAUUCACUGCUCAUGGCAACACCGGAUCUUUUAACCCACUGAGUGAGUCCAGGGAUCGAACCUGCAUUCUCAUGGAUACUAGUCAGGUUCAUUACCACUGAGCCACAACAGGAACUCCUGGAACCUCUGACUUUGAAGAAUAUUAUAGAACUGUUCCUUGGGUAACUCUGAAGGGAGAGUCCCAGGAAUGUGGAGUGAGUUUUAGGAAUUAAGGUCGAUGACAUUAAACUGAAGCUUCUCAGAGUUUGUGAAACUGAAUGUGACCAUAAUUGGUGAAGGGUAACAGAUUGUUUAAAGGUAGAGUUUUUUGACCCCAGCACUACUGUCACUUUGAACCAGCUAAUUCUUUGCAGCGGGGGCUGUCCUGUGCACUGCAGAAUGGUUAGUGGUAUCCCUGGCCAGGGAGGAAUAGGGGACAGAAUGUGGUUGUCAGCAUUUGGAACCUGGAAAUUAGAAAUUCCCUUUUAAUCUGACCCAUUUCUUUUAAGGAGUGGCUUCAGCAAACACCUCCUUUGAGCAUCUCUUCUCCAUUCCAAAAUACCACAUAGCACCACUUAAGGAUUAUUACUGGGGAGGGGGGGAGUACUGCAUAUAGUCAAAGUCUCUGGAUUUAAUUACCUAUGUAGAGGAAAUAUAGGGGUUAAAGGAACAUGGUAAAUGACACCAAGAGGAUACAAUCAGACAAAUUCAGAAUUUGGGAAAUUCUAAAGAGAAAAUAACCUAGUUUCUUCCACAAAUAAUUGGAAUAAAACAGCAAAAAAAAAAAAAAAUGUUGGAGGAGCUGUUAGAGAUUAAAAGAGAUUUAAGACAUUAAGAUGCAAACAAACCAAAUCUAAUUUGUAAAUCUGAUUUAGAUCUUGAUUCAAACAAAGCAACUAUAAAAAGACAUGCUGGGGGCAAUUACCUGAAAUUAAACAUGAACAAGAUACUAUAUGAUAUUAACAAAUUAUUAUUAACUUUGUUGAGAAUAAUAAUGGCCUCGUGGUUAUGUUAGUCUUAGAAGAGUCCUUAUGUUAGAGAUAGACAGGAAAAGCUCAUGGAUUAAACGAUAUGAUAUUUGAGACAGCUAAAAUAGAAUUACUUGUACAAUUAAAAAGUAAAUGGAAAGAAAAAGAAAAUGUCUAGGGAUCAGGUCUUUCUAAUUCACCAAGAACAUUCAAGAGAGAUCUCAUUUAAUCUAAAGUGUUGAGUAGAUCUCAUUUAAUCUAAAGUGUUUGACUAAAGAAACCAGAUUCCAACGAUAUGGAAAAUUGCAGAGGAAACCUUCUGGAAGGGAAGCAGAGAACCAGGCAGGAUAUGUUCUAAGACCUUGCUACUCAAAGAAUAGUUCGUUAUCCAGCAACACUGGCAUCUUGUGGGUUAUUAUAAAUGCAGAAUCUCUGGCCUACCUCAGACCCACUGAAUCAGAAACUGCCUUUUAACAAGAUCCUGAGGUGAUUCACAUGCAUGUUAAAGCCUGAGACUCACUGCUCUAAACACAUGCUCAUCUUUUAAUAAAGUUGCUUCAUUAUCCACCUCCUAGUGGAAGGCUCCUAGUGACCAAAUCUAAGAUUUCACGCGGGAUCCCCCGAGAGCAAAGAUUUGUGUAUUAAUCUGUUGCAACACCUACACUGGUUCCCUUACUAAUAGCUGAUCCACCAUCUAUUCCUGGCCCCCAGCCACACAACAUCCUCCCUGCCAUGCUUCCUAAUUGGUAAUCUGCCACCCAUGACCUUGACCAGAUGGUGUACUGCCUUGGGACCCCUGGCCUCAUCAGCUGAUUCCACACUCAGGCAGAGCCACAUUAAAAAGGGAGGCUAGUGCCCAGAGCAUCCAUAGAGAUGGAUAGGCCCCCAAAGAUUGUGGCAUGCAAUUAAAGGGAAAGAACUCUAUUAAGUAUUUUUAUGAGAGGCCAAGGCCCUGUACAGAUAAGGGUCACCAGCCCUGCUAUUAAUCUAGUCUUGCUCCAUCCUCCAAAUAGAAAAUACUUUACAUAUGAAGAGAUAUGAGGAGGGCACAGGGGCAGCUGUGGAGUGCUUCAAAUCCAUUCAGAUAAGUGGACUCUCUUCUACUCUGUCUGUUCCCAAGAUGGGAAGAAAGGUUUGUCUCCAUUAGCGUUAGCUGUCCUUUUGGAGGGAGCCAACUUGGGAGCAGCAGCACCUAUGUCUUCUUUGUGAUUAACUUUUGUUCAUGCGCAUGGCUGUUUAAUGAAUACUGAUUCUGGCGAUUGCUUUGAUUAACAGGGUCUGAGGAAUUUCACACUUAAUAUCUGAGUUGAGAUGAGGUAUGUGGCAUCCUUUCCGUCUCUAGGAACCGGCAGCCACCUCACAGCCUCUUUUAUGAAGGGUCUCUAAAGAAAUCCUUUCCAUGUUUCUGAAUGUUUGCCAUCGGGGUCACCCCACAUCUUCAAGUCCGACUCUUUCAGUUUUGCUCCAGUGGCUCCAACUGAGGUCAAGAAGACAAGGCUGAAUGGUGGGACUGUGUGGGGUAGUGGUUUAGGAUGUGGGCUCUGGAGCCACACUGCUUGGGUUUUGCUAUUUACCAGCUGUGUAACAUUGUAAUGACGUACCCCCUCUGUGCCUCAGUUACCUACAUGUAAAGUGGGGAUGAUAAUGACUUCUACCUUCCAGGAUUAGAUGUAAUAUAUGUAAAGUACUCAGAACAGUGCCUAGAACAGAGUAAGUAUUCACCUGUGUUAUUUAUGGAUUUUUACCUAUACAAAUACUAUUUUCCAACACCAAUUUUCUGACACCAACUGGGUGUCCUAAAAUUCAAUUCAAUUCUAAUACUAACCACUCAGCAUCCCACAAGAUAAGGAGCAAGGCCCUCAAGACUGCCCUUACGUCAGAUGCCAGUUGCAAGGGGCCCGUUGCCAGGAUACCUGUACGUCUUUCUGACUUGGAUACAAAUUAGGGGGUCUCCUUGACCCUCCUUCGGAUUUGAUCAUUCACUAGAAUGACUAAAGGCUACAAAACUCAGGAACUACCUAAUGCAAGAGACGCAUAGGGCAAGAAGCUCUUGGGGGCAAGCCACAGAGAUUGCUUGCCUUCUCUGGUGUCACACUCCCAGCACAUCAAUCUCUUCACCAACCAGGAAGCUCUCCUGAUUGUUGGGUUUCGUUACAGGGGUAUGCUUGAAGAAAUUAUUGGCCACCUGUUUGAACUCAAUCUCUUCCCCUUCUUUCCCAAAGAUCAGGGGUGGGGUUGGAAGUUCCAACCC